rnacentral:rRNA from 1 species
UGCAAGUCGAACGCACUCUCGUUAGAUUGAAGAAGCUUGCUUCUGAUUGAUAACAUUUGAGUGAGUGGCGGACGGGUGAGUAACACGUGGGUAACCUGCCCUAAAGUGGGGGAUAACAUUUGGAAACAGAUGCUAAUACCGCAUAAAACCUAGCACCGCAUGGUGCAAGGUUGAAAGAUGGUUUCGGCUAUCACUUUAGGAUGGACCCGCGGUGCAUUAGUUAGUUGGUGAGGUAAAGGCUCACCAAGACCGUGAUGCAUAGCCGACCUGAGAGGGUAAUCGGCCACACUGGGACUGAGACACGGCCCAGACUCCUACGGGAGGCAGCAGUAGGGAAUCUUCCACAAUGGACGAAAGUCUGAUGGAGCAACGCCGCGUGAGUGAAGAAGGUUUUCGGAUCGUAAAACUCUGUUGUUGGAGAAGAACGUAUUUGAUAGUAACUGAUCAGGUAGUGACGGUAUCCAACCAGAAAGCCACGGCUAACUACGUGCCAGCAGCCGCGGUAAUACGUAGGUGGCAAGCGUUGUCCGGAUUUAUUGGGCGUAAAGCGAGCGCAGGCGGUUUCUUAAGUCUGAUGUGAAAGCCUUCGGCUCAACCGAAGAAGUGCAUCGGAAACUGGGAAACUUGAGUGCAGAAGAGGACAGUGGAACUCCAUGUGUAGCGGUGAAAUGCGUAGAUAUAUGGAAGAACACCAGUGGCGAAGGCGGCUGUCUGGUCUGUAACUGACGCUGAGGCUCGAAAGC